CUUUCUUUGCUGGCGACCGGCGCACGGGUGAGUAACACGUAUCCAACCUGCCCUUUACUCGGGGAUAGCCUUUCGAAAGAAAGAUUAAUACCCGAUAGUAUAAUGAUUCCGCAUGGUUUCAUUAUUAAAGGAUUCCGGUAAAGGAUGGGGAUGCGUUCCAUUAGGUUGUUGGUGAGGUAACGGCUCACCAAGCCUUCGAUGGAUAGGGGUUCUGAGAGGAAGGUCCCCCACAUUGGAACUGAGACACGGGUCCAA
rnacentral:rRNA from 1 species